GCCCAAGCACUAAAGGAAGAGGUUGACCGGUUGUUGGGUGCUAAGUUGAUCAAGGAGUCGUUCUACCCUACAUGGCUGGCUAACCCGGUCCUUGUCAAGAAGCCUAAUGGGAAGUGGAGAACCUGUGUUGAUUUCACAGAUCUGAACAAAGCAUGCCCAAAGGAUAGUUUUCCACUCCCGAGGAUAGACCAGUUGGUGGAUGCCACAGCAGGACACGCUCUGUUAAGUUUCAUGGAUGCCUAUUCAGGGUACAAUCAGAUACCCAUGCAUGAACCAGAUCAGGAGCACACUUCUUUUAUAACUGACAGAGGACUAUAUUGCUAUAUAGGGAUGCCGUUUGGACUAAUCAAUGCUGGCGCAACUUACCAACGCCUUGUGAACAUGCCCGGUCCUUGUCAAGAAGCCUAAUGGGAAGUGGAGAACCUGUGUUGAUUUCACAGAUCUGAACAAAGCAUGCCCAAAGGAUAGUUUUCCACUCCCGAGGAUAGACCAGUUGGUGGAUGCCACAGCAGGACACGCUCUGUUAAGUUUCAUGGAUGCC
rnacentral:lncRNA from 1 species